AAUUCACCUAGGAGAGCAAACUCUAUACAAACCCGGGCAGGUGGAGGUCGUUAGCCGUGGGAGGCAAUUCACCUAGGAGAGCAAACUCUAUACAAACCCGGGCAGGUGGAGGUCGUUAGCCGUGGGAGGCAAUUCACCUAGGAGAGCAAACUCUAUACAAACCCGGGCAGGUGGAGGUCGUUAGCCGUGGGAGGCAAUUCACCUAGGAGAGCAAACUCCGAACAAUAAACCCGGGCAGGUGGAGGUCGUUAGCCGUGGGAGGCAAUUCACCUAGGAGAGCAAACUCUAUACAAACCCGGGCAGGUGAGGCUCGUUAGCCGUGGUAGGCAAUUCACCUAGGAGAGCAAACUCUAUACAAACCCGGGCAGGUGGAGGUCGUUAGCCGUGGGAGGCAAUUCACCUAGGAGAGCAAACUCCGAACAAUAAACCCGGGCAGGUGGAGGUCGUUAGCCGUGGGAGGCAAUUCACCUAGGAGAGCAAACUCCGAACAAUAAACCCGGCCAGGUGGAGCUCGUCAGCCGUGGUAGGCAAUUCACCUAGGAGAGCAAACUCUAAACAAACCCGGGCAGGUGGAGGUCGUUAGCCGUGGUAGGCAAUUCACCUAGGAGAGCAAACUCUAAACAAACCCGGGCAGGUGAGGCUCGUUAGCCGUGGUAGGCAAUUCACCUAGGAGAGCAAACUCCGAACAACAAACCCGGGCAGGUGGAGCUCGUUAGCCGUGGGAGGCAAUUCACCUAGGAGAGCAAACUCCGAACAACAAACCCGGGCAGGUGGAGCUCGUUAGCCGUGGGAGGCAAUUCACCUAGGAGAGCAAACUCCGAACAACAAACCCGGGCAGGUGGAGCUCGUCAGCCGUGGUAGGCAAUCUGCCUAGGAGAGCAAACUCCGAACAAUAAACCCGGGCAGGUGGAGCUCGUCAGCCGUGGUAGGCAGUCUGCCUAGGAGAGCAAACUCCGAACAAUAAACCCGGGCAGGUGGAGCUCGUCAGCCGUGGUAGGCAAUCUGCCUAGGAGAGCAAACUCCGAACAAUAAACCCGGGCAGGUGGAGGUCGUCAGCCGUGGUAGGCAGUCUGCCUAGGAGAGCAAACUCUAAAUAAACCCGGGCUUGUGGUGCUCGUUAUACUGUCGUAGACAAUCCACGCGAUGGGAACACCAAAGAAAAGGAAAAUAAAAAGGAACACCAGAAAAAUGGAAAAUACAGAAACGAAACAUCAAGAAAAGAAACAAAAAGAUCAUCCACCUUUAGGCCCUAACAUCGCCAAAAUUAUGGGUGGGUCUCUUCUGGGGAGAAAGCGGCUCAUCCAGACCAAAGAACAUCAACAAAAG